UGAAAGUGAUAUGUGUAGAGUUCGUGUGUUAGUUUGAAAUAGAACACCGCAUGCUAUACCAUUGAGAAAAGGUUGAAGAUUUUGGAGCUCCUCCGACUAAAACUUUGUUGGCCAUUGACAAACGUAGGGCAAUUUUGCCUACUGUUAGACACAAAACCAGGUGUCUAAAACUGACAGCUAUAUAUAAGAUCCUGCCUUAGUCAUUCAGGACUAAGAAACUGCCCAAACAGAAGUUUGCUUCAUGUUGUCAAGUCACAGGCUCGCGAAGGAGAACUCAACCAGUACACAAGCGCUUUAUCGAGAAGAAGCUCAUGGCCAAGUGGUAAUCCUAACCCUACGGUCACCUGUUACUACCUGGGUGAACUCCGCUAGCUACCCCGGCCCAGACACGAGAGAGCGUUGGCACCAGACUAUUUCAUUGACUGGCGAAAGUACACCGAUAAAGUCUUAAAGUUGUAGUUCACCCCUGUAUGAAACUUAAUUGACCAAGGGGCACACGUUAACCGUAAUUUUCAGUCGUUGUUAACCCAUUUUAUGUCCCAUUAGAGCUAUUUUAUAGCAAGCAUGUUUAGAAAGUGGCAUGGAGCACGUUCAUUUCACGCGUUUUGCAAAGUCUACAACAAUCUCUGCGAGAAAAAAAAAUGGGUCAUUUUCCUCAUGGUGCGCAUAUCAUGAUGCGGUGAUUUGUUUAGCCAAUCCGCCUGUUCUCACUCAAUUUCUUCGGCGUGUUGUUCCCCGAACCACGCUCAUUACCAAACUCCAUUAGCGUGACGCACACGUACUAGUUCCCUCGACUGACCUAUUUUCGCUGGUGCCAUUUCACCGUACUUUGUAUUCUACAUCAAUCGUCCGUUUUUAACCCCCUUUUUAAAAGGCAGUAAUUGACUUUUCAUGUGCCGCUCGUUUUUGGUUGAUGUUUGAUGAUCCCCGGAAAUUGUGGCUGCAAUGACUUCCCGCCAUUGCUGAGAAUUCCCUAUAAGUGUGAACACGAACGUGUCCUGGAGGCAGGGAGCUUUAGGUUAAUGGCUUGAUGACGAACGCUUUCUGUUUGUCCCGGUGUCACAUGAAGUAUGGACUCUUUUAAAAUAUGUCCUUUCCACUUCAUAAUGGACUUUGAGCUUUACACUUGACUUGUUACUUUUGUCAUUCUGACCACUAAGGAAUGCGCAAUUAACCAAAUGAGCCCGGAGUCAUUUCACAGAGUCCAAAUGUCACACAACACCGGUCUGUUUUUGUGGAGAAUUCGGUUGAAAUACCGCUGGACGGGGCUAGAUAUACGACUUGUGGACUGGUUUCCAAGGUGUCAUUAAAGCACAGAAAGAAA